rnacentral:rRNA from 1 species
UACCGCAUGAUACUUUUAGGAGGCAUCUCCAAAAAGUCAAAGAUUUAUCGCUGAAAGAUGGGCUCGCGUCUGAUUAGAUAGUUGGUGGGGUAACGGCCUACCAAGUCAACGAUCAGUAGCCGGACUGAGAGGUUGAACGGCCACAUUGGGACUGAGAUACGGCCCAGACUCCUACGGGAGGCAGCAGUGGGGAAUAUUGGGCAAUGGGGGAAACCCUGACCCAGCAACGCCGCGUGAAGGAAGAAGGCCUUCGGGUUGUAAACUUCUUUUACCAGGGACGAAGAACUGACGGUACCUGGAGAAAAAGCCACGGCUAACUACGUGCCAGCAGCCGCGGUAAUACGUAGGUGGCAAGCGUUGUCCGGAUUUACUGGGUGUAAAGGGCGUGUAGGCGGAGCUGCAAGUCAGAUGUGAAAUCCCGGGGCUCAACCCCGGAACUGCAUUUGAAACUGUAGCCCUUGAGUAUCGGAGAGGCAGGCGGAAUUCCUAGUGUAGCGGUGAAAUGCGUAGAUAUUAGGAGGAACACCAGUGGCGAAGGCGGCCUGCUGGACGACAACUGACGCUGAGGCGCGAAAGCGUGGGGAGCAAACAGGAUUGGAUACCCUGGUAGUCCACGCUGUAAACGA